UACGUAGGGGGCAAGCGUUGUCCGGAUUUAUUGGGCGUAAAGAGCGUGUAGGCGGCUUUACAGGUCCGUUGUGAAAACUCGAGGCUCAACCUCGAGACGCCGGUGGAAACCGUAAAGCUAGAGUCCGGAAGAGGAGAGUGGAAUUCCUGGUGUAGCGGUGAAAUGCGCAGAUAUCAGGAAGAACACCGAUGGCGAAGGCAGUUCUCUGGGACGGUACUGACGCUGAGACGCGAAAGCGUGGGGAGCGAACAGG
rnacentral:rRNA from 1 species